rnacentral:rRNA from 1 species
CACUUUAGGAUGGACCUGCGGCGUAUUAGCUAGUUGGUAAGGUAAUGGCUUACCAAGGCAAUGAUACGUAGCCGACCUGAGAGGGUAAUCGGCCACAAUGGGACUGAGACACGGCCCAUACUCCUACGGGAGGCAGCAGUAGGGAAUCUUCCACAAUGGACGAAAGUCUGAUGGAGCAACGCCGCGUGAGUGAAGAAGGGUUUCGGCUCGUAAAACUCUGUUGUUAAAGAAGAACGAACGUGAUAGGAAAUGAUCACGUUGUGACGGUAUUUAACCAGAAAGUCACGGCUAACUACGUGCCAGCAGCCGCGGUAAUACGUAGGUGGCAAACGUUGUCCGGAUUUAUUGGGCGUAAAGCGAGCGCAGGCGGUUUCUUAAGUCUGAUGUGAAAGCCUUCGGCUUAACCGAAGAAGUGCAUCGGAAACUGGGAAACUUGAGUGCAGAAGAGGACAGUGGAACUCCAUGUGUAGCGGUGAAAUGCGUAGAUAUAUGGAAGAACACCAGUGGCGAAGGCGGCUGUCUGGUCUGUAACUGACGCUGAGGCUCGAAAGCAUGGGUAGCAAACAGGAUUA